rnacentral:rRNA from 1 species
GUAGGGUGCAAGCGUUAAUCGGAAUUACUGGGCGUAAAGCGUGCGCAGGCGGCUAUGCAAGACAGAUGUGAAAUCCCCGGGCUCAACCUGGGAACUGCAUUUGUGACUGCAUGGCUAGAGUACGGUAGAGGGGGAUGGAAUUCCGCGUGUAGCAGUGAAAUGCGUAGAUAUGCGGAGGAACACCGAUGGCGAAGGCAAUCCCCUGGACCUGUACUGACGCUCAUGCACGAAAGCGUGGGGAGCAAACAGGAUUAGAUACCCUGGUAGUCCACGCCCUAAACGAUGUCAACUGGUUGUUGGACGGCUUGCUGUUCAGUAACGAAGCUAACGCGUGAAGUUGACCGCCUGGGGAGUACGGCCGCA